GAUGAACGCUGGCGGCGUGCCUAAUACAUGCAAGUCGAGCGAACGGACGCGAAGCUUGCUUCUCUGAUGUUUGCGGCGGACGGGUGAGUAACACGUGUAUCACCUACCUAUAAGACUAGUAUCACUUCGGGAAACCGUCUCUAAUACCGUAUAAUCUUUUGCACCGCAUUGUUCAAUAGUGAAAGUUGGUCUUUCUGUCACUUAUCGCUGCAUCCGCGCUGCAUUAGCUAGUUGGUAAGUUAACGGCUUACCACGGCAACGAUGCAUAGCCGAACUGAGAGAGGGAUAGGCCACACGGGAACUGAGACACGGUCCAGACUACUACGGGACGCAGCAGAAGGGAAUCGUACGCAAAGGGAGAAAGCAUGACGGAGCAAGGCAGCGUGAGAGAUGAAGGUCUUCGGAUCGUAAAACUCUGUUAUGAGGGAAGAACAUAUGUGGAAGUAAAUGUGCACAUAUUGACGGUACCUAAUCAGAAAGCCACGGCUAACUACGUG
rnacentral:rRNA from 1 species